rnacentral:sRNA from 1 species
GGUAUGGAGCCUGGCACCGUGCUGCUGGGUACACGCGGGGCCUCAUCUCAUCCUGCACUCAUGGCAGAGCAGGCCUUUCCUCCUUGAACAUGCAGACAAGUCUCAGAGAGGUCAGUGCGCUGGCCCGACGUCUCCCAGUGAGUGGAGAGGCCACGCCACAGUCCGGGCCAGGUCUGACCCAGCACUGGCACCCCUGAGCCUAUGGCAUCAUCCGAGGACUCUAAUCCUCAACCCGUUCCUCAGAGCAACUUGGUGAAAGGGAGUGUCUGCUGUUAGAAGCAGUGGUGGAGAUGGCGGCUCCUGUGCUGAGUUGUGAAUGGGAGAGUUCACAUCCGCGACUGGCGAGAGGAGACACUGUGGAAGACAAAGCAACCGGAAGCGAAACAGAGACUGCUCUCCGAAGCCUGCAAAACCCGCCUCUGCUGGUUCUUCAUGCAUCACCCUGAUGGCUGUGCUCUGUCCACGGACUGCUGCCCGUUUGCCCAUGGGCCUGCGGAGCUGCGG